rnacentral:piRNA from 1 species
UGGGUGUUGUCGGGAGUGUCCUGAAAAGA